GAAAGCAGGCGAGGUGAUCGCUUGAGGAAAGUCCGGGCUCCCCAAUGGCCAGGCUUGCUGGGUAACGCCCAGUGCGGGUGACCGUGAGGAGAGUGCCACAGAAACACACCGCCGAUGGCCGGGGGCCAGCCCCCAGCACAGGCAAGGGUGCAAAGGUGCGGUAAGAGCGCACCAGCAGCAUCGAGAGGUGCUGGCUCGGUAAACCCCGGCCGGGAGCAAGGCCCAGGGACAAGGGUUGGCCAUGACACCCGUCCCGCUUAACGCGCGCCGCUCGAGGCCGCCGGUAACGGCGGUCCCAGACAGAUGAUCACCCCCCAGCCCGGCUGCGGCCGGAUCCUGGGAGAACAGAACCCGGCUUACGUCCUGCUUUCACCC
rnacentral:RNase_P_RNA from 1 species